CCUACGGGCGGCAGCAGUGGGGGAUAUUGGACAAUGGGGGGAACCCUGAUCCAGCGACGCCGCGUGAGUGAAGAAGUAUUUCGGUAUGUAAAGCUCUGUCAGCAGGGAAGAAAGCAAUGACGGUACCUUACCAAGAAGCCCCGGCUAACUACGUGCCAGCAGCCGCGGUAAUACGUAGGGGGCAAGCGUUAUCCGGAAUUACUGGGUGUAAAGGGAGCGUAGACGGCUGUGCAAGUCUGGAGUGAAAGGCGGGGGCUCAACCCCCGGACUGCUCUGGAAACUGUAUGGCUGGAGUGCAGGAGAGGUAAGCGGAAUUCCUAGUGUAGCGGUGAAAUGCGUAGAUAUUAGGAGGAACACCAGUGGCGAAGGCGGCUUACUGGACUGUAACUGACGUUGAGGCUCGAAAGCGUGGGGAGCAAACAGGAUUAGAUACCCGGGUAGUC
rnacentral:rRNA from 1 species